UCCCUCGCGCCGCCGCCGCCCCCGGCCCUGACCCCGCGCGCCCCCGCCCCGCCCCUGACCUCACGCGUCGCCGCCGCUGCCCCGACAACCCAAGGCGCCGCCGCCCCAAGAUGGGAAGGCAGCCGCCGCCGAGAAAGAAGCUCCGGGAAGGGCGGAAGAUGGGCACUGUGGCCGCCGGCGAGGAAGAAGAUUCGGGCGGAGAGGAAGAUGGCGACGGAUGCCGCGGACGAGCAAGGAGGGGAGGCGGCGGAGCGGUCGCCUCAUCUCCCUGUCCUGCGGCACUCCGGCGGCUGGAGCAAGGUAAGGCAGAGCACGGGACUAGGAGCGGCUGGAGGAGCUGAGUUUGGGCCCGUUCCGCAGCUCACCGGCGGAGAAGACCACGGCGGUGCUGGUCGGGUGACCACACUCGCCUCCUCUCGCGCUGCUCGUGGUCUCCAUCAAGCACGCACAAAAAAGACGGGCUGCAGGCAGUGAGAGGGACAGGAUUCGCCUCUAUCAAUGGAAUUCUUCCCCACGCAACUUAUCUGAACUGCUCCACCCCUACGCCUUCUUCCUCAUGCAGCAGGCAGUGCAGAUGUACGUAUUCUGAAUUUUGAAUCUUGUCUCCUGAACUACUCCUCGCCGCCACCACACCUGGAACCGGUUGUCGGUCAAUAGAAGGCUGUCUGUGUCCAUGCUCCGCUGAUCACCAAGUCGCACCCUCUGUACGUGGAGGAUGCCUUUAUUCUUUAUUUUGGAAAAUCUGAAAUUCUGAAGCAACCGUAUUGGUUUCACACAGGCACCAUCUUGGUAUUAACCAAAUCGAACAUCAACAAAAUAAAAGCAGACUACAAAGAUACUAAUGUGAACCUGUGUGCAUUAUAUAGAAAUUUUGGUUGUUA